rnacentral:rRNA from 1 species
AUGACUAACUUGGAGAAGCUACUAGCUAUGUUUGGUCUCUUGGUGUUCCUGUCACACCUCCGUGUCCAUGGCGUCUCCGUGUCCGUGGGCAGUAGCGCGAAUGUUACUACAGAGAGCAGCCACAGUCGUGGCAGGUGCCACAUCAGUGGCUUCCUGCAUGGCAAAUCCGGCGACUGCAACAGGGAUCAUGGCUCGGUCUGCUGUAAAGACGGUCACCGCUACCCGCAAUUCAGGUGCUCGCCCCCGGUGUCGGCCGACACGCCGGCGAUCCUAACUCUGAACAGCUUCGCACGAGGUGGA